AUGCUUUUCUAGUUCACAAGCAUGAUGAUUGGAGUUUCACGCUCACGUGUGAGAUGCACCUCCCUCAACACUUGUUAAGACGUCAGCACAUUACCUAUCAGACA